AUAGAAGCGAUCUUUUUCGUCUCUCUUCGUUUUUCAGCUGAGUUCUGCAUUCUAUUGUUGACAGAGAGUGAGAGAGAGGGAGAGGGUUGGUAACAGUGGGGGUUUCGGAUUCUCGGUUUCGAUUGAGCUGGCAAUCUUUUGAUCAAAUCAGACGAUCCGAUAGAGCAAUCAGAUAUCUUUGAGACUUUGAGCUUCAGAUACAUCAGGAGAAGUCCAUCGCAAUAUGACAGAUUGGAAGGUGCAUGCAUGUGAAGGUGUAGCAUCUCUCUUAUUCAUACUGUAUUGGAUUAUUGUAUGGAGUUGAUUCUGUCUUAUUUCGAUGAGGUCAGGUUAGAUAUUCCAUUUGUUUCCAUUUCUUAUUUCAAUGAUUGAUAAGGUUGGUAAUUAAAUUCCAUUUGUUUCCCAUAAUUGGAAGAGCUGGAGUCAUCUGAUUGGUAAUAUUUGAAAUUAACAGGUGAAGAAGGUAGGUAACUCAGAGCAAAGGAAGAGGGGGACGGGAACAAUCGCUUUGGCAUCGUUUAUAUUUGAAGUUUGAUCAUGUCUAGCUCAUAAUUGUUGAAUGGAAUCAUAUAUCCCAAUUUCAACUGUACCAAUGAUAGCACAGUGAAACAAAUGUUCAAUUGAUAGGUGUAUCAAUACGUAAUGGAAGAGAAAUCCUUUUAAAGGACGAUUGGAGAAGGUUAGAGGAGCCUUAUGGAAGUAUAUUCAUAAGUAUUCCAACUGUUCUUGAUUCAUCGUUGGCUCCAGAAGGGCACCGUAUUCUUCAUAUUUACGACCUCUUCCAUUGAAGACUGGGAGGGACUUCUCUCGAAAGGACUAUGAAUCAAAGAAGGAGCUUAUGGCAGAUGUCAUCAUUAGCAGAUUAGAGAAGAUACUAUUUCCAGGGCUUAAGUCAUCCAUCGUUUUUAAGGAGGAGACCAGCAUUGAAUCAGCAACAUCAUCGACCAAAACCAUCAACAAAGAAAAAAUGGACUGAAAUGUCAUGACACUUUUGGUGUAAAUAGAACUGGAGGAAGCAACUUUUUGGACAACCUCCACCACUGAUCAUCACUAGCUAACAACUUCUUAGCACACAUAUAUGCUAAUGGAAAUCAUCACUUAUUUUUGGCAAGCAGAUUAGGCAUUCAUUGUAAUUAAGUUAGCCUACAAGUAGAACAACUUAUUUUUGGCAAGCUGUUCCAACAGCAACUGUAACCUGUUUUUGAACACUAGAUUUUAGUAAAACAAGUUCUUGACGAGA